AUGGGAGACUGCAACCCUGCACACAACCCCAUGGAGCCGCGCCUGAAGCUGAGCAAGAAGUGCCCGAGUCCACCUACAGAUGCCACGUUUUACAGAAGCGUGGUUGGGAGUCUCUGCUAUCAUGUACACACACGGACUGACAUAACCUUUGUUGUUGGAUAUAUCAGCCGAUUCAUGGAGGUGCCCACGACAGAACACCUUGCUGCUGUCAAGCAUCUUUUCCGCUACAUAGCUGGCACCAAAGAUUUGGGAUGCAAGUACACUGCCAGUGGAGAGCUUCGCCUGCCUUGUUUCAGUGAUUCAGACAUGGCCGGUGAUGUUGAUGAUCGGAAAAGCACCACGGGAGCCCAUUUCCUGCUUGGGGCGAGCCUGAUCUCAUGGCAGUCACAGAAGCAGAAAGUGGUGGCCCUAUCGAGCUGUGAAGCGGAGUACAUUGCAGCCAUGACCAGCGCAUGUCAAGGGGUGUGGCUGAACAGACAGUUGCAGGACCUGCUCGAGGGUGGUGGCCGUGCCACCACAAUUCCGGUGGACAACAAGUCCGCCAUUCAGCUGUGCAAAACCCCGGUAUUCCACAACCAGAGCAAGCAUAUUGAGCUUCACUUCCAUUUCAUCCGUGAGUGCAUCGAUGAUGGAAAGAUUUAUGUCGACCACAUCAACACUGGCGAUCAGCUUGCGGAUAUUCUCACCAGAUCGCUCGCUCGAACCAGAUUUGUGAUCAACGUCAAGUAA
rnacentral:rRNA from 1 species